rfam:Microvirga lotononidis strain WSM3557 genomic scaffold Micloscaffold_4, whole genome shotgun sequence.
AAAGUCCCCCACGAUGAAGGGCUAGCAACCCACAUCGGCCCCGAGCCGUGCGCAGGCAACCGUGAGGAUGUCGGCGAAGCGUCGGUAGGGGAGCGUGCAGGCCAGCCAUUGAGCCGCGAAAGUCGAAUAUCCCGGGUGCCGACGGCGUUGACGUUCCGGAAGGCAGCACGGAUGAGCGCGUUACGCGAGCGCUCAGUCGACCCGGCGUGGUCUGAGACCC